UAACUUUUAGAGGAGAUUUCCUUUUGGCAUGGAAGGAUUUGAGCAUUGUUGGUAAAUUACCCAAACUCGAGGUCCUUAAACUAUCACACAAUGCCGUCAUAGGCGAGGAGUGGGAAGUAGUUGAGGAAGGGUUUCCUCACUUGAAGUUCUUGUUUCUGGAUCAAAUAUACAUUCGGUACUGGAGAGCUAGUAGUGAUCACUUUCCGUACCUUGAACGACUUUUUCUUAGAAAUUGCGAGUAUUUGGAUUCAAUCCCUCGAGAUUUUGCAGAUAUAACCACACUAGCUCUUAUUGAUAUACAUUACUGUCAACAAUCUGUUGGGAAUUCCGCCAAGCAAAUUCAACAGGACAUUCAAGACAACUAUGGAAGCUCUAUCGAGCUAGCAUUUUCGAUAGUGUAACAACAGAUGAAGAUGAUGAUGAUGACUUUGAGAAAGAAGUUGCUUCUUGCCGCAAUAAUGUCGACUAGCCAGUUCUCUGAAAUAAAUGUCAAAUCAGAAGCCAAAUGUGUGAGUGUUUGUUUUGUUCGUUUUCAUUUUCUUUGAAAAGAUUCUGCAUAAAGGGGCAGGAUGAUUGCAAAUGGCUUGUAAUUUAAUUGUAUAUGAUCUUUCGUAUAGCCAUUUGUCAGUGGUUUUUAGAUACUCCAAAUUUUAUGUACAUACAUACUGUAUAGGCCAGAACAGACUCCAGUAACUUGUGUUUCCUUUCUUGGGAGUCCUCGAUCUACCUUGCAAAGGAAGACGGAAGGCUAAAUCCAGUGGCAUCAGCAACAUCAGUAGAAAGGUGUAAUAUUUAAGAGACUACUCGUGUCACGAUAAGUGUACAAAUAGCAAUGUUAUCCUCUCUGGCUUUUUCUACUCGAAUAUUAAGGAAUUCACUGUGGCUAUUCCACAA